CGAUUGGGUGACGCGGAGGGACAUUACCGAGUUUACAACUCCCAAACCCCAAUGUGAACGUUACCAAACUGUUGCCUCGGCGGGAUUUCUGCCCCGGGCGCGUCGCAGCCCCGGACCAAGGCGCCCGCCGGAGGACCAAUCUACAAACUCUUUUGUAUAUCCCAUCGCGGAUUCUUUACAUUCUGAGCUUUCUCGGCGCUCCUAGCGAGCGUUUCGAAAAUGAAUCAAAACUUUCAACAACGGAUCUCUUGGUUCUGGCAUCGAUGAAGAACGCAGCGAAAUGCGAUAAGUAAUGUGAAUUGCAGAAUUCAGUGAAUCAUCGAAUCUUUGAACGCACAUUGCGCCCGCCAGUAUUCUGGCGGGCAUGCCUGUCCGAGCGUCAUUUCAACCCUCGAACCCCUCCGGGGGGUCGGCGUUGGGGAUCGGCACUUACCUGCCGGCCCCGAAAUACAGUGGCGGUCUCGCCGCAGCCUCUCAUGCGCAGUAGUUUGCACACUCGCACCGGGAGCGCGGCGCGUCCACGGCCGUAAAACAACCCAAACUUCUGAAAUGUUGACCUCGGAUCAGGUAGGAAUACCCGCUGAACUUAAGCAUAUCAAUAAGCGGAGG
rnacentral:rRNA from 1 species